rnacentral:rRNA from 1 species
AACGAACGCUGGCGGCGGGCUUAACACAUGCAAGUCGAGCGCCCCGCAAGGGGAGCGGCAGACGGGUGAGUAACGCGUGGGAAUCUACCCAUCUCUAUGGAAUAACGCAUGGAAACGUGUGCUAAUACCGAAUCCGUCCUUCGGGAGAAAGAUUUAUCGGAGAUGGAUGAGCCCGCGUUGGAUUAGCUAGUUGGUGGGGUAAAGGCCUACCAAGGCGACGAUCCAUAGCUGGUCUGAGAGGAUGAUCAGCCACACUGGGACUGAGACACGGCCCAGACUCCUACGGGAGGCAGCAGUGGGGAAUAUUGGACAAUGGGCGCAAGCCUGAUCCAGCCAUGCCGCGUGAGUGAUGAAGGCCCUAGGGUUGUAAAGCUCUUUCACCGGUGAAGAUAAUGACGGUAACCGGAGAAGAAGCCCCGGCUAACUUCGUGCCAGCCGCCGCUGUAAUAC